rnacentral:ncRNA from 1 species
UUCCGUUGAUGAAGCGGCAUCAACGAAGAGCCAAGCGGGGCUGAUAGA